rnacentral:rRNA from 1 species
CCAAUAGCGUAUAUUAAAGUUGUUGCAGUUAAAAAGCUCGUAGUUGAAUUUCGGGAUUGACACAUCGGUCGUGCCUUAAGGGGUAUGAACUGGUGUAGUCAAUUUCUCACCUUCUGGAGAACCGCGAUGCCCUUAAUUGGGUGUCACGGGGAACCAGGACCUUUACUUUGAAAAAAUUAGAGUGUUUAAAGCAGGCAUUUUGCUUGAAUACAUUAGCAUGGAAUAAUAAAAUAGGACGGCAUGGUUCUAUUUUGUUGGUUUCUAGGAUCACCGUAAUGAUUAAUAGGGAUAGUUGGGGGCAUUAGUAUUCAAUUGUCAGAGGUGAAAUUCUUGGAUUUAUUGAAGACUAACUACUGCGAAAGCAUUUGCCAAGGAUGUUUUCAUUAAUCAAGAACGAAAGUUAGGGGAUCGAAGACGAUCAGAUACCGUCGUAGUCUUAACCAUAAACUAUGCCGACUAGGAAUCAGACGAUGUUAAUUUUUUAAUGACUCGUUUGGCACCUUACG